GUGAACUUAAACGGCCGCGGUAUCCUAACCGUGCAAAGGUAGCGUAAUCACUUGUCUUAUAAAUAAAGACCCGUAUGAAUGGCUAAAUGAGUAUUUAACUGUCUCCUUUAACUAAUCAGUGAAACUGAUUUCUCAGUACAAAAGCUGAAAUAAAAACAUAAGACGAGAAGACCCUGUGGAGCUUUAAAUUUUAACAAAGUAUUAAAACAUAUUUAUGGUAAAAAAUUUUUAGUUGGGGCGACUUUGGAGCAAAACCUAACCUCCAAGAAAAGGUACCACCUAAACCAGGCUGACCGGCCAAACAUCUAGACCCAGUAUUUUUACUGAUUAAUGAACCGAGUUACCCCAGGGAUAACAGCGCCAUCUUCUUCAAGAGUUCCCAUCGACAAGAAGGUUUACGACCUCGAUGUUGGAUCAGGACACCCAAAUGGUGCAACCGCUAUUAAAGGUUCGUUUGUUCAACGAUUAAUGUCCUACGUGAUCUGAGUUCAGACCGG
rnacentral:rRNA from 1 species